UGCCUCCUGAGAGCGUUUUUUUUUGUUUUGUUUUUUUGUUUUUUCUUUUAUAAGCCCAUUGCCAAGAGGAGGCAAAAUAACCCUGCCCUGUGUACACCCCAGCCUAGGCCCUCCUGCCUGGUCUGUAUUGUGAAUGGGGAGACAUGG